AAGCCGAACCGCGAGCUGGAACAACACAGGGAUGGACACAGAAAAUCCACCUAUUAUUCCCGCUUCAUGUGCUCAUUCUCAAAAACUGACUCUAGUCUUCAAUCUGGAGCCGUUUGUAAAUAUAGAAACGUCUAUAUUUCGGGACUAGCGCACCCAGAAACCACUUUUCUGUUUGUAAACAGUAUUAACGGCUUAUUGAACCAUCUUUCAACUCUGAUAUGAGAUAUUGUCAGCAGCGCUGAAUGGGUCGCUCCAGUCUGCCCUGGCUGUCCAAUGGCAGAGAAGCUCAGGGAUGGGAGCCCCCUAUUGGCUCCCCACAUGAUCGAUCAGGGGCUGAUUGAUCGGUUUUAGGCCACAUUUGCGAGGAGGCGCAAAACACAACAUCGUCCGCGAAUGGAAAACACACACUUUGCGUUUUCUGUCAGCUCAUAAAGGCUGUAUAUUCACCAAAACACAGAACAUUUGACCAAUAAAUCUCUCUCUCUCUCUCUACACAUGCAUCCCCCCCCCCCCCACACACACACACACACACAUCAAUUUUCACAUCUCUGACUUAAUUACUUACAUCAUAAUGCAUUCACACUUAAGAUUCACAAAACUAAACAGACUCACACUCAGAUUAAAACUCUUAACAACUUUCUUCUCUCAGAGAAGUUAUUCAAUUUCACUUUUGUUGCUUUAUGAAGCGUUCACUUGAGUUUCACAGUUGCAGAGAUUGUAAAAGUUUGGUCAAAUAUUGAUGAGCUUUAAUUUAUGGAGGAGAAACUUAUAUUCUCGAGUAAUUUCAAGAAAAGCUAUGACAGCAUUGAGUAAUGUGCGGAUGUAAAUGAACAAAAUAGUAUGAAUUUACUACGUUAUCUGGUUGUAUAUGAUUCCUCGCCGGGAUAUAAAGGGCUACAAAUCUUAUUUAAUUUAGUCUAUCAAAGUUUUUUUUUAAUUAAAAAAAGAGUUUAACUACCUCUGCAUAAAUCUGCAUAAAAUAUUUAUGAUAAAUUUCAUGACAUAUGAAGUAAUAUAAAAGCGGGGCAAGUUUCAUGGACAUGAUUAGUUUUCAGAUAAGACGCAUAUGUAAAAGGUAUCUAUGAAUCCCAAUGGAUUUUUGUUUAUUUUUAAGGUUGUUUUCCACAUGAUGAUCACCGACUAGAGGUUUACUCAACUUUUUUUAUUAUUUCUCAACCGACACACGUGAACGGAGUGUGUGUGAAAGAGGCACAUUAUCUCCUGAUUAUGGUCGGUGACAGCCUGCUUUAAAGUUUUUUCUUCGCGUGCAGCGCGUCCAGUCAUCGAUCAUCUGCCCCCGGUGCCACAAAUUGUGUCAUAACAUGAUAAUGCGGCUUCACACAUUCGGCGGUGAUUCUUGUGGUAAAACCCGAGCGGUGGGAAACGAUGGGACAAAUGUACAGGCAUGAAAUGACUAUCACAGCCUCCUGCAGUCCGGCAGGCGAAGCUCCGGGGCGCGAACAGCAGAGAAGCCACGAAGCCACGCAGGACGCACGGACUUUUACGCACAGAGAUACCGGAUCAUAUAAUAAACUGGGUUGACUUGUGCUCGUCGAGUUUGUUAAUUCAGUUAUUUAUUGGUGAGUAGAAGCUCUCCUUCUCUCAUUCUUUUUUUACGGCACAUUAAAUAAUUAAAACCCUUAUUAUUGUCACUAA